rnacentral:rRNA from 1 species
UGGGGAAUAUUGCACAAUGGGCGCAAGCCUGAUGCAGCCAUGCCGCGUGUGUGAAGAAGGCCUUCGGGUUGUAAAGCACUUUCAGCGAGGAGGAAGGUGGCGAACUUAAUACGUUCAUCAAUUGACGUUACUCGCAGAAGAAGCACCGGCUAACUCCGUGCCAGCAGCCGCGGUAAUACGGAGGGUGCAAGCGUUAAUCGGAAUUACUGGGCGUAAAGCGCACGCAGGCGGUUUGUUAAGUCAGAUGUGAAAUCCCCGGGCUCAACCUGGGAACUGCAUUUGAAACUGGCAAGCUAGAGUCUCGUAGAGGGGGGUAGAAUUCCAGGUGUAGCGGUGAAAUGCGUAGAGAUCUGGAGGAAUACCGGUGGCGAAGGCGGCCCCCCUGGACGAAGACUGACGCUCAGGUGCGAAAGCGUGGGGCAGCAAACAGGAUUAGAUACCCUGGUAGUCCACGCUGUAAACGAUGUCGAUUUGGAGGUUGUGCCCUUGAGGCGUGGCUUCCGGAGCUAACG